GAGCAGCAUCUAUAUGGCAACUGCUUUAUUCAUGGCAGAGAGAGGGAGAUCGAGAAUUGGAGAAAACAAUGAUGCCUCUUCAAGCUUCUGCAGGAACUUGGCAGACUGACAUUCCAUUGACCAAACGGCCAUAGAGGAAUUACAUGCCUAUUCUGAAUUCCAAGACAAGCUGAGAAAUUGAGUGUCUGACAAUUUCAGCCUCCCUAUUGUGUGUGGGGCUCUACUGGCUUGGAAAAAGUGUGGAAGAAUGGCUGUUUCAGACCCAGUGGAAGCAAGGAAAAGACCAGUUGACAAAUGGUCAACUUGACCUGGAACCACAGUGGAGAAGAUGAGAAAGGACCCUGAUCGUGUGGAAUUGAACUUCUGGUUGAGACUGGUGGAGAAUAAGUAAGGAAACAAACAAAUAUAACAAUUUCAGAAAUACCUGUGAAGAAAAUAAAGCAACAUAAACCUUGCUAAGAAGAUUGUAAGUUGGAAGAGGGGACACAAAAUAGAUGAGUGGUUUUUUUUAAAAAAUGAAUUCAUCUUGGACGAUGGCUUUCUGCCCAACAGAGAGAGUUAUA